rnacentral:rRNA from 1 species
AUGAACGCUGGCGGCGUGCCUAAUACCUGCCAGUCGAGCGAACAGAUGAGGAGCUUGCUCCUCUGACGUUAGCGGCGGACGGGUGAGUAACACGUGGAUAACCUACCUAUAAGACUGGGAUAACUUCGGGAAACCGGAGCUAAUACCGGAUAAUAUAUUGAACCGCAUGGUUCAAUAGUGAAAGACGGUUUUGCUGUCACUUAUAGAUGGAUCCGCGCCGCAUUAGCUAGUUGGUAAGGUAACGGCUUACCAAGGCAACGAUGCGUAGCCGACCUGAGAGGGUGAUCGGCCACACUGGAACUGAGACACGGUCCAGACUCCUACGGGAGGCAGCAGUAGGGAAUCUUCCGCAAAGGGCGAAAGCCUGACGGAGCAACGCCGCGUGAGUGAUGAAGGUCUUCGGAUCGUAAAACUCUGUUAUUAGGGAAGAACAAAUGUGUAAGUAACUAUGCACGUCUUGACGGUACCUAAUCAGAAAGCCACGGCUAACUACGUG